GAAGAAUCAAGUCAAAAAACGUAGUUCUAUUUUGGAGGGGUAGAGCCCUUUAUAUAGAUGUCUCAGGGUUAGAGACUGAUUAGAAGUAGGAUCCCUGGUGUUAGAGUCCUAGUAGAAAUAGGUUUUUGAGUCAGAGAUAGGAUAGGACUGAUCUCUGAUCCUUAUCUUGAGCUACUGGAGGUUAUCUAGGACUCUAGAUAGUUAUCCACGAAAUUCAGAGUUCUUGUAGGACUCUC
rnacentral:lncRNA from 1 species